AGAGUUUGAUCCUGGCUCAGGAUGAACGCUGGCGGCGUGCUUAACACAUGCAAGUCGAACGAAGCACUUUAUUUGAUUUCCUUCGGGACUGAUUAUUUUGUGACUGAGUGGCGGACGGGUGAGUAACGCGUGGGUAACCUGCCUUGUACAGGGGGAUAACAGUUGGAAACGGCUGCUAAUACCGCAUAAGCGCACAGCAUCGCAUGAUGCAGUGUGAAAAACUCCGGUGGUAUAAGAUGGACCCGCGUUGGAUUAGCUAGUUGGUGAGGUAACGGCCCACCAAGGCGACGAUCCAUAGCCGACCUGAGAGGGUGACCGGCCACAUUGGGACUGAGACACGGCCCAAACUCCUACGGGAGGCAGCAGUGGGGAAUAUUGCACAAUGGGCGAAAGCCUGAUGCAGCGACGCCGCGUGAGCGAAGAAGUAUUUCGGUAUGUAAAGCUCUAUCAGCAGGGAAGAUAAUGACGGUACCUGACUAAGAAGCACCGGCUAAAUACGUGCCAGCAGCCGCGGUAAUACGUAUGGUGCAAGCGUUAUCCGGAUUUACUGGGUGUAAAGGGAGCGCAGGCGGUGCGGCAAGUCUGAUGUGAAAGCCCGGGGCUCAACCCCGGUACUGCAUUGGAAACUGUCGUACUAGAGUGUCGGAGGGGUAAGCGGAAUUCCUAGUGUAGCGGUGAAAUGCGUAGAUAUUAGGAGGAACACCAGUGGCGAAGGCGGGCUUACUGGACGAUAACUGACGCUGAGGCUCGAAAGCGUGGGGAGCAAAAAGGAUUAGAUACCCUGGUAGUCCACGCCGUAAACGCCGAAUAGGAGGUGUUGGGAAGCUUUGCUUCUCGGUGCCGCCGCAAA
rnacentral:rRNA from 1 species